GCCGCCGCCGCCACCACCACCGCCGCCGCCACCGCCGCCGCCGCCAGCACCUCGGGACCCACCGGAGGACGUCCGUGAGGACCCAGCGGCAGCCGGCCUCGAGGACAAGCCGCCGCCGCUGCCAAAGGGGAACCCGUGGACCAAGAAGCUGCCUCAGCACCUGUCCCCGGUGGGCACCGGCGUGCCGCCGCCCGCUCAGGACUCCCCGGAGGCCGAGCUCAGUUCCCCCCAAAAUUAUAAAAGCGGGAAAACUCAAGACAAAGAAAUCCAANCAAGGCUAGUGACUUCAGUGAUAUGGCAAACUGGCCAACACCAGGUGAAUUGGUUAACACGGGGUCUCAGAGUGUUAUCAGCCAAGGAAAUAAAAAGCCACAAAUUAGAAAAGAAAAAGAAGAGAAGAUUGAAAAAAGAAGCAACAGUGAGAGCAAAGAGAACCGGGAAGCAAAACUAGAUGGUCCUAUUGAAAACGUCAGCGAGGAUGAAGCUCAGUCAAGCAGCCAGCGGAAGAGAGCUAAUAAGCACAAAUGGGUACCACUCCACUUAGAUGAUGUGAGACCAGACAGCCAGGAAAGACCUGGGUCCCGGAACAGCUCUAGAUGUCAACCUGAAGCAAAUAAACCAGCGCACAACAAUAGAAAAAGUGAUACACGAAGUUGGAGACGGGAUAGAGAAAAGAGAGAUGAUCAAGAUGAAGUAUCCAGUGUGAGAAGUGAGGGUGGUACCAUCCGAGGUUCCACUAGAGGCCGGGGAAGAGGCCGGGGCCGAGGAAGAGGCCGAGGUCGAGGAAACCCUAGAUUGAACUUUGAUUAUUCAUAUGGUUAUCGAGAGCCAGGGGAAAGGACUGAGCAGCCAUUUCCUACAGAGCUUAACACCAGCAUGAUGUAUUACUAUGAUGAUGGCACAGGUGUGCAGGUGUAUCCUGUGGAAGAAACACUGCUUAAAGAGUACAUUAAGCGCCAAAUUGAGUAUUACUUCAGCAUAGAGAACUUGGAACGGGACUUCUUUCUUCGAAGAAAGAUGGAUGAGCAGGGAUUUCUGCCCAUUUCCCUGAUUGCUGGUUUUCACCGUGUGCAGGCUCUCACCACAAACCUUAAUCUCAUCUUGGAGGCACUUAAGGAUAGCACAGAAGUAGAAAUUGUGGAUGAGAAAAUGAGGAAAAAGAUAGAACCAGAAAAAUGGCCAAUUCCAGGCCCUCCUCCACGAAAUGUGCCACAGACAGACUUCUCUCAGUUGAUUGAUUGUCCGGAGUUCAUACCUGGCCAGGCCUUUGGCUCCCAUACAGUCAGGGUCCUUCAGGUUAAGCUUUGUAACUUGUGUGAGAGAUGUUUGGGUUUUGUGACUUCAUGUGAUUUCACAAUGUGCCAUCUGCAGUGUGAAAAUGUGUCGUUGGUUUGCAGUCAGAGUGUUUUAAUUUACUUAUGAAGUUCAAACUACCAAAAGAAAUUGCAAUGUUUGCCUUCUUUUUCUUUAGAGUCCACGAAAGAGGAAGACGAGUCACAGCACAACCCCCGCUUUAGAGUAUCACGUUGGGUGGGUGAUGGAUUCCAGGGACCAUGGGCCAAGACCACCCUCUGUCAGGUACCUAGUUGGCAAGCACUCUCUCUCUCUCACUGUCUCUUC
rnacentral:lncRNA from 14 species